CUCAGGGGCUCAAAGCCCAUGUGGCCUCUGGCUGUGGCCUCUGGCAGGAACGCAGCCCUUGGUCAACGUCUGGUGAGUUGGCGACUCAGCAAACAAACGUGCCCCUGUCAGCAGGCCAGGCCCUGGGAGUCAGACUCCACGCUGCGCCUGUGCGCUCCCAGGGAGACAGGCGGCCCCGCGGACACCCGGCCGAGCCAGCCUGGUGGCCUGUCCAUCCCCAGGGCCCUGCCUGAAGGAGCCCUUGUUACCCUGGCCCCUCAGGGCCACCGGUUUCCGGGCCGUGGCAGGGCCCAGCCCCGGCACAGACACGGCCGUAGUGUCCAUGUUCUGGCCCACCCUCAGCAGCUCACACUCCUGAGAACCGCAAGCCCCACUGGGGGCAGGACAGACUCGGCCCCGAGUCGACCGUGAGCAGCACCUGGCUGGGAGACACCUCCUAGGACGGGGCGCCUGGGAGGACGGGCCGUCAAUGGCUCACCCUGUGCUUAGCACCACGAGUGGACCCUGGUGUCACUGUCCACCAAGAGCCAAGCAGUCACGCGACGACGCAGGGCUCCAGAGUGCUCCCAGCUGCCAAGUGCUCCAGGCCCCCACCCCUGUCCGAUGGCUGCGGUCACUCCUGAGAUUCUGAUGCUGAGGCCUGUGGGGAGGGGAGGCUGGUGGGGGG
ensembl:lncRNA